rnacentral:rRNA from 1 species
UACAGAGACCUCAAGCGUUAUCCGGAAUCAUUGGGCGUAAAGCGUACCGAUAGGUGGUUUUACAAGUCAGAAGUGAAAUCUUAAGGCUUAACCUUGAGUCUGUCUUUUGAAACUGUAAAACUAGAGGGGCAAAGAGGAAGCUGGAACGAACGGUGUAGUAGUGAAAUGCGUUGAUAUCGUUCGGAACACCAAUAGCGUAGGCAAGCUUCUGGGUGCCACCUGACACUGCUAGGACGAAAGCGUGGGUAGCGAAUGGG